rnacentral:misc_RNA from 1 species
GAUGAAGAACGCAGUGAAAUGCGAUAAGUAGUGUGAAUUGCAGAAUUCAGUGAAUCAUCGAAUCUUUGAACGCACAUUGCGCCCCUUGGUAUUCCGGGGGGCAUGCCUGUUCGAGCGUCAUUAUCACCCCUCAAGCUCAGCUUGGUGUUGGGGCCGGCCUCUCACAGGGCCGCCCCUAAAAGCAGUGGCGGUGCCAUCUGGCUCUACGCGUAGUAAUACUCCUCGCGACAGAGUCCCGGUGGUGUCCUGCCAGAACCCCCCAUCUUUUUAAUGAUUGACCUCGGAUCAGGUAGGGAUACCCGCUGAACUUAAGCAUAUCAAUAAGCGGAGGA